rnacentral:rRNA from 1 species
GGAACGUGCCUUGUAAUGGGGGAUAACUAGUCGAAAGAUUAGCUAAUACCGCAUACGCCCUGAGGGGGAAAGUAGGGGAUCUUCGGACCUUACGUUAUAAGAACGGCCGAUAUCUGAUUAGCUAGUUGGUGGGGUAAUGGCCUACCAAGGCGACGAUCAGUAGCUGGUCUGAGAGGACGACCAGCCACACUGGAACUGAGACACGGUCCAGACUCCUACGGGAGGCAGCAGUGGGGAAUUUUGGACAAUGGGCGAAAGCCUGAUCCAGCCAUUCCGCGUGAGUGAAGAAGGCCUUCGGGUUGUAAAGCUCUUUCGCAAGGGAAGAAAACUUACAUUCUAAUAAAGUGUGAGGCUGACGGUACCUUGAUAAGAAGCACCGGCUAACUACGUGCCAGCAGCCGCGGUAAUACGUAGGGUGCGAGCGUUAAUCGGAAUUACUGGGCGUAAAGCGUGCGCAGGCGGUUUGGCAAGUCAGAUGUGAAAUCCCCGAGCUCAACUUGGGAACUGCGUUUGAAACUGCCAGACUAGAAUAUGUCAGAGGGGGGUAGAAUUCCACGUGUAGCAGUGAAAUGCGUAGAGAUGUGGAGGAAUACCAAUGGCGAAGGCAGCCCCCUGGGAUAAUAUUGACGCUCAUGCACGAAAGCGUGGGGAGCAAACAGGAUUAGAUACCCUGGUAGUCCACGCCCUAAACGAUGUCUACUAGUUGUUGGUGGAGUAAAAUCCAUGAGUAACGCAGCUAACGCGUGAAGUAGACCGCC